UGGUUUCUUGCAGCUCUGCCGGCCGCUUAGCCGCCCUCGGGACCGGGACGCCAUCUCCGCCUUCAUCGCCGACAUUUGAUCGAUGGCCGUCCGCCUGUCGCCGUUGCCCCCUCCGCCUCCUCCAAAGCCUGAUUAGAUGUUUGGCGAGCUCUUGGCCUUGGCUUCGGCCUCUUUUUAUGUUGUUUUUUUGGGCUUGUUGAGCUGUGCCCUCAGCAAUACCUUUGGAUCUCUCUGUGUGCUUGGGUGUGUGUGUUCUGUACUAGACCUUGUAUGUGUGCUCUGGGCGGUUUGCUUUAUUUAUAAAGCGGGGCGAAAGCCUUUUUCGGUAAUAGCGUAGAAGGUUCUCAGCGGUCGCUGACAAUGAGCUGUGAGAAUGCUGAGGAGGAGGUCGAAGGCAAAGCUGGGAAGAAGAAGAAAACGGAGUCCCAGAAGGAUAAAGCACCCAAGGAGUCCAAGAAAAGGAAGAAAAUGGCGCCAAGGAGCAACCCCAAUAAGAUCAAUGAUAACAGGCAGCAAACUCUUCAAGCUACAACACUACAACAGAUGAGGAGGACGGCAGUAAUUAUGCAAUUGUUGCUGGGAGGUUUGAUCCUGAGAAGAUUAGAGAUGCUUUUGCCCUCGUUACUGGGUUCUUCUUGGUGAGUGGUCAUAAGGGGGAAGACAUUGGGAAGGAAAUCGAGAGGUGUUUGAUGGAUUGGGGUUUACAGAAAGUGUUCUCAAUAACUGUUGACAAUCCAUCAGCAGACGAUGGCGCUGUAAGUUACAUGAGGAGGGCCAUGAACGAUGCUAAAACUAGCAUAGCAAGAGGACAAUAUAUUCACAUGAGAUGUGCAGCCGAUGUCAUAAACUUGAUAGUUACAGAUUGCCUAAGAGAGUUGGUCAUCUGAGUGCAGCAAGUCCAUGCUGCUAUCCGUUUUGUCAGAAAUUCUCCAUCUAGAAUUACUCGAUUUAAGAGGUAUGCUGACUUGGAAAAGGUGGAGAGCAAAUCAUUCGUACCAUUUGGUGUGUGCACAAAAUGGAACUCCACAUACCUAAUGUUAAAAUCUGCUGCCAUAUAUGAGAAUGUGUUUGACAGGUAUGGCGAUGAUGACCCUUACUUUGCAAUUGGGUUAAAUAAAGAGAAAGCGUCGGGAGUUCCUGAAGGUGUAGGUUGGGAAUAUGCAAGGAAGUUUCAGAGUUUCUUGAGCAUUUUUAUAACCACACUGUUCUUGUUUCGGCCUCUAAUCAUUAUUGCACAUCUAACAUUUUUUUUCAUGAAAUUGCUGAUGUUUAUAUCUUGUUGAGAGAGUGGUGUGAGAGUACCGAUGCUUUGCGGAAGGAAAUGCCUGAAAAGAUGAUUGCUAAGUACAAGAAGUAUUGAGGUGAUCAUGAGAGCUUUAGCAUUCUGAUCUUUGUGGCUGUUGCUCUUGACCCAAGGUACAAGUUGCCAGAUUACACAAGAUUAGCUACUUUGGAGAUGUUUGGUGAGGUCAAAGGAGAAGAAGUUUGGAAAAAGAUGAGUGAAACACUGGAUAACUUGUUUAAGGAGUAUGGUUAUGCUUCAAAUGAGAAGGAAGGAAAUGGAAUCCAAUGUGAUACAAAAUCCUGAAGUGCAAGGCAUAAGCAGGUUGAGGUCCCUAAUUGCCAAGGGGAUGAGAAUGAACAACUGUGCAAUCAGUCCGACCAAGUCUGAGCUUGAAAAAUAUCUUGCCGAGGAGACUGAAGCAGACACCACCAAAUUUGAUAUUCUCGAGUGGUGGAAGAAGGUCAAUUCUUCUAGAUUUCCAGGGUUAUCACCCUUAGCUCCUGAUGUCUUGGCUGUCCCGAUAUCUACAGUUGCCCCCGAGUUCACCUUCAGUGCCGGUGGACGUAUCCUUGACGAGUUAGGAGCUCGCUUACACCAUUCAUGGUCGAAGCACUCAUUUGUACUCAGGGUUGGAUGCGGCGAUCAGCUUCUGUAAGUGAUGAAGAGGAUACAGAACAGUUGACCAAACUAGAGGAAGAAUUAAUUGAAGAAGUGAGUGGCCUCAACGUAUUCGAGACUAGCUCUAGUAAUAACAUUUCCAUCACUGUUGAUGAUUCACAUCAUAA